UGCAAGCGAAGGAGGAGUCACAUAGGAAAAACCGUGUGGCAAUCCAAAGGCGUGAUGCGGACCGAAUUAAAGUAGGGAAGUGUGUGAGCCAUGAAUCAAGAAAAGCCGCUAUUGUUUUUAAGAUACCCGUACCGUAAACCGACACAGGUGGAUGAGGAGAGAAUCCUAAGGCCGGCGGAAGAAGCAUUGUUAAGGAACUCGGCAAAAUGACCCCGUAACUUCGGGAGAAGGGGUGCCAACGAGAGUUGGCCGCAGAGAAUAGGCUCAAGCAACUGUUUAGCAAAAACACAGGUCUAUGCAAAACCGUAAGGUGAGGUAUAUGGGCUGACGCCUGCCCGGUGCUGGAAGGUUAAGAGGAGAGGUUAGCGCAAGCGAAGCUUUGAAUUUAAGCCCCAGUAAACGGCGGCCGUAACAAUAACGGUCCUAAGGUAGCGAAAUUCCUUGUCGGGUAAGUUCCGACCCGCACGAAAGGCGUAAUGAUUUGAGCGCUGUCUCGACAAUGCAUCCGGUGAAAUUGAAGUACCAGUGAAGAUGCUGGUUACCCGCGCCAGGACGGAAAGACCCCAUGGAGCUUUACUCCAGUUUGGUACUGGGGUCCGGCAGUGCAUGUACAGGAUAGGUGGGAGGCUGUGAACCUGGAACGCCAGUUUCAGGGGAGCCAUUGUUGGGAUACCACCCUUGUGCUGCUGGGCUUCUAACCAGCGGCCUUUAUCAGGCCGGGGGACAAUGCCAGACGGGGAGUUUGACUGGGGCGGUCGCCUCCGAAAGGGUAUCGGAGGCGCUCAAAGGUUCCCUCAGAAUGGUCGGAAACCAUUCGAAGAGUGCAAAGGCAGAAGGGAGCUUGACUGCGACACCGACGGGUGGAGCAGGUACGAAAGUAGGACUUAGUGAUCCGGUGGUAUUAAGUGGGAAUGCCAUCGCUCAACGGAUAAAAGCUACCCUGGGAUAACAGGCUUAUCACUCCCAAGAGUUCACAUCGACGGAGUGGUUUGGCACCUCGAUGUCGGCUCAUCGCAUCCUGGGGCUGUAGUAGGUCCCAAGGGUUGGGCUGUUCGCCCAUUAAAGCGGUACGCGAGCUGGGUUCAGAACGUCGUGAGACAGUUCGGUCCCUAUCCGGCGUGGGCGUAGGAUAUUUGAGAGGAGCUGUCCUUAGUACGAGAGGACCGGGAUGGACUGACCUCUGGUGUACCGGUUGAACCGCCAGGUUCACGGCCGGGUAGCCAAGUCGGGAAGGGAUAAACGCUGAAGGCAUCUAAGCGUGAAGCCCCCCUCAAGAUGAGAUAUCCCAUUCGAAAGAAGUAAGACCCCUUGAAGACGACGAGGUAGAUAGGGCAGAGGUGGAAGUGCCGUAAGGCAUGGAGCUGACUGUUACUAAUCGGUCGAGGGCUUGAUC
rnacentral:rRNA from 1 species